rnacentral:rRNA from 1 species
AUUGAACGCUGGCGGGAUGCCUUACACAUGCAAGUCGAACGGAGUGGCGAACGGGUGAGUAAUGUAUCGGAACGUACCCAGUAGCGGGGGAUCACUACGCGAAAGCGUAGCUAAUAACGCAUACUAUUGGAGCGGCCGUCAUGGGAUUAGCUGGGUGGAGGGGUAACGGCUCACCAAGGCGACGAUCCGUAGGUGGUCUGAGAGGACGACCAGCCACACUGGGGCUGAGACACGGCCCAGACUCCUACGGGAGGCAGCAGUGGGGAAUUUUGGGCAAUGGGCGAAAGCCUGAUCCAGCCAUCCCGCGUGAGCGAUGAAGGCCUUCGGGUUGUAAAGCACUUGUGUCAGGGAAGCGGUACCUACCCAAUAAGCACCGGCUAACUACGUGCCAGCCGCCGCGGUAAUAC